GGUAGUCCACGCCCUAAACUAUGGAUACUCGACAUUUGUGAUACACAAUAAGUGUCUGAGCGAAAGCAUUAAGUAUCCCACCUGGGAAGUACGACCGCAAGGUUGAAACUCAAAGGAAUUGGCGGGGGUCCGCACAAGCGGUGGAGCAUGUGGUUUAAUUCGAUGAUAACCGAUGAACCUUACCAGGGUUUGACAUCCUUGGAAUUUCUGUGAAAGCAGAGAGUGCUUUAUUGAACCAAGUGACAGGUGAUGCAUGGCCGUCGUCAGCUCGUGUCGUGAGAUGUUUGGUUAAG
rnacentral:rRNA from 1 species